rnacentral:rRNA from 1 species
GGUUUUGAUUUGAAAGGCGCUUUCGGGUGUCGCUGAUGGAUGGACCCGCGGUGCAUUAGCUAGUUGGUGAGGUAACGGCUCACCAAGGCCACGAUGCAUAGCCGACCUGAGAGGGUGAUCGGCCACAUUGGGACUGAGACACGGCCCAAACUCCUACGGGAGGCAGCAGUAGGGAAUCUUCGGCAAUGGACGAAAGUCUGACCGAGCAACGCCGCGUGAGUGAAGAAGGUUUUCGGAUCGUAAAACUCUGUUGUUAGAGAAGAACAAGGAUGAGAGUAACUGUUCAUCCCUUGACGGUAUCUAACCAGAAAGCCACGGCUAACUACGUGCCAGCAGCCGCGGUAAUACGUAGGUGGCAAGCGUUGUCCGGAUUUAUUGGGCGUAAAGCGAGCGCAGGCGGUUUCUUAAGUCUGAUGUGAAAGCCCCCGGCUCAACCGGGGAGGGUCAUUGGAAACUGGGAGACUUGAGUGCAGAAGAGGAGAGUGGAAUUCCAUGUGUAGCGGUGAAAUGCGUAGAUAUAUGGAGGAACACCAGUGGCGAAGGCGGCUCUCUGGUCUGUAACUGACGCUGAGGCUCGAAAGCGUGGGGAGCAAACA